UUUUGAUGGCACAUUACAAUCAGAAUCAACUAACAGUGGAAAAAACAAGAGAGAUUCAGAUUUUGAAGGCACAGAUGAACCCAUUUUUGGAAAGAAGCCCAGGAUAGAAGAGUCAAUAAAUGAAGACUUAAGUUUGGCAGACCUAAUGCCCAGAGUCAAGGUACAGUCAGUUGAAACCAUUGAAGGGUGUACACAUGAGGUUGCACUUCCUGCAGAUGAAGAUUAUUUGCCACUUAAACCUCGGGUUGGAAAAGCUGCAAAGGAAUAUCCAUUUAUUCUUGAUGCUUUUCAAAGAGAAGCCAUUCAGUGUGUUGAUAAUAAUCAAUCAGUUUUAGUAUCUGCACAUACAUCAGCGGGAAAAACUG